GACGAACGCUGGCGGCGUGCUUAACACAUGCAAGUCGAACGAAGUGGCGAACGGGUGAGUAACACGUAAUCAACCUGCCCUUCAGAGGGGGACAACAGUUGGAAACGACUGCUAAUACCGCAUACUGAAGGAGGGGAUUGCGUCUGAUUAGCUAGUUGGAGGGGUAACGGCCCACCAAGGCGAUGAUCAGUAGCGGGUCGUAGAGGAGUAACGGCCACAUUGGGACUUAGACAAGGCCCAGACUCCGACGGGAGGCAGCAGUUGGGAAUCUGCCGCAAUGGACGAACGUCUGACGGAGCAACGCCGCGUGAGUGAUGACGGCCUUCGGGUUGUAAAGCUCUGUUAAUCGGGACGCGUUACCGGAAUAGAAAGCCACGGCUAACUACGUGCCAGCAGCCGCGGUAAUUC
rnacentral:rRNA from 1 species